UACGUAGGGUGCAAGCGUUGUCCGGAAUUAUUGGGCGUAAAGAGCUCGUAGGCGGUUCGUCGCGUCGGCUGUGAAAACCUGAGGCUCAACCUCAGGCCUGCAGUCGAUACGGGCGGACUUGAGUACUGCAGGGGAGACUGGAAUUCCUGGUGUAGCGGUGAAAUGCGCAGAUAUCAGGAGGAACACCGGUGGCGAAGGCGGGUCUCUGGGCAGUAACUGACGCUGAGGAGCGAAAGCGUGGGUAGCAAACAGG
rnacentral:rRNA from 1 species